CCACAUGACAGAAGAAGAAAUCAAUUGUAAUGCCAUAUGAAGAAAAUAUUGCGUCAAAAUGAAAACCGCUUUGAUGGUAACUGAAAAACCUUCUUUGGCAGCAUCCCUGGCUAAUAUAUUGAGUAAUGGACGAUGUAAUAUCAAAAAACGACUGAAUGGCUUUUGUUCCGUCCACGAAUGGGUAGGUCAAUUUAGAUCCGAGACUGUAAAUUUUAAAAUGACCUCUGUAUGUGAACACGUUAUGACAUUAGACUUUAUUGGAAAAUACAACAACUGAGACAAAGUAGAUCUGGAGACUUGUGAGUUAUGCGAAGCAAUUGAUACUAUUAAGGUUCAUUGGUCAUAUGAAGUUUGCACACGUCAAGCUUGACAUCCUAAAGAUCACAAGACCACAUAUUGCGGACAAGAUGAUGCCUAAUCAGGAUACAGCCACGAAAAAGAAUGAUAUGCGCAUGGCAGAGAAAUUAGCGCUAUUCACAGGCCUUGUAAGCAUAUUUAGUAACAACGAAGAUUCUUUGAAUUGAGCUCUGUCUUAAAAUCGCAUCAAUUGAAGUGAAUCCACUGCUGAGUGCUGAAAUUAUACGAUUUUAUCCGUCACAACAAAUAGACAAAGAGGAAUGCUUUUUCCAGUCGAUGGUCUCAAAUGUUGCUGACGUAUCUAUUUCGUUGCAAAUGCAUCAUUAUGAAAUGAUGAUUGGUAGUAAAUGAGAGAUAUGUUGUGAAUUAAAAAGAUGUCUAUCUUUGUAUGAUUACAAACUAUUUGCAUCUAAUUUUUUAGUGACAAUGUCCGAAUAAUUUGCGUUAGUAUUUCUGUGUA